rnacentral:rRNA from 1 species
AGAGUUUGAUCCUGGCUCAGAGCGAACGUUAGCGGGAGGCUUAACACAUGCAAGUCAAGGGGAAAAUUCCGGCUUGCCGGAAUGAUUAUACUGGCGAACGGGUGAGUAACGCGUAGGCAACCUGCCUUUAUGAAUGGGAUAACAUCGAGAAAUUGGUGCUAAUACCGUAUAAUGUUCUUUUAUCACCUGGUAGAAGAAUCAAAGGUGCUUUUGUACCGCAUAGAGAUGGGCCUGCGUUCCAUUAGCUUGUUGGUAAGGUAACGGCUUACCAAGGCCACGAUGGAUAGCUGAUCUGAGAGGGUGAUCAGCCACACUGGGACUGAGAUACGGCCCAGACUCCUACGGGAGGCAGCAGUGAGGAAUAUUGCGCAAUGGAGGAAACUCUGACGCAGCAACGCCGCGUGGGGGAUGAAGCACUAUGGUGUGUAAACCCCUGUAGACAGGGACGAAUGAUAUGUGUUCGUAAGGGCAUGUAUGUGACGGUACCUGUAAAGUAAGCACCGGCUAACUCCGUGCCAGCAGCCGCGGUAAUACGGGGGGUGCAAGCGUUGUCCGGAAUUACUGGGCGUAAAGGGCGUGUAGGCGGCCUAUUAAGUCAGAUGUGAAAGCCCACGGCUUAACUGUGGAACUGCAUUUGAAACUGAUAGACUUGAGUAUGAGAAGGGGUAGUGGAAUUCCCAGUGUAGCGGUGAAAUGCGUAGAUAUUGGGAAGAACACCAGUAGCGAAGGCGGCUACCUGGCUCAUAACUGACGCUAAUGCGCGAAAGCGCGGGGAGCAAACAGGAUUAGAUACCCUGGGUAGUCCGCGCCGUAAACGAUGGAUACUAGAUGUUGGUUGCUUUAUAGCGAUCAGUGUCGGAGCUAACGCAUUAAGUAUCCCGCCUGGGGAGUACGAUCGCAAGGUUGAAACUUAAAGGAAUUGACGG